GACGAACGCUGGCGGCGUGCUUAACACAUGCAAGUCGAGCGGGUAAGGCCCUUUCGGGGGUACGACGAGCGGCGAACGGGUGAGUAACACGUGGGUGACCUGCCUUUAGCUCUGGGAUAAGCCUGGGAAACCGGGUCUAAUACCGGAUAUGACUCCGCGGGCGCAUGUUGUGGGGUGGAAAGCCUUGUGCGGCUGGAGAUGGGCCCGCGGCCUAUCAGCUUGUUGGUGGGGUGAUGGCCUACCAAGGCGACGAC
rnacentral:rRNA from 1 species